UACGUAGGGUGCGAGCGUUGUCCGGAAUUAUUGGGCGUAAAGGGCUCGUAGGCGGUUUGUCGCGUCGGGAGUGAAAACCCAGGGCUUAACCCUGGGCUGGCUUUCGAUACGGGCAGACUAGAGGUAUGCAGGGGAGAACGGAAUUCCUGGUGUAGCGGUGAAAUGCGCAGAUAUCAGGAGGAACACCGGUGGCGAAGGCGGUUCUCUGGGCCGAUACUGACGCUGAGGAGCGAAAGCGUGGGGAGCGAACAGG
rnacentral:rRNA from 1 species